rnacentral:rRNA from 1 species
GACGAACGCUGGCGGCGUGCCUAAUACAUGCAAGUAGAACGCACAGUUUAUACCGUAGCUUGCUACACCAUAGACUGUGAGUUGCGAACGGGUGAGUAACGCGUAGGUAACCUGCCUGGUAGCGGGGGAUAACUAUUGGAAACGAUAGCUAAUACCGCAUAAUAUUAAUUAUUGCAUGAUAAUUAAUUGAAAGGUGCAAUUGCACCACUACCAGAUGGACCUGCGUUGUAUUAGCUAGUAGGUGAGGUAACGGCUCACCUAGGCGACGAUACAUAGCCGACCUGAGAGGGUGAUCGGCCACACUGGGACUGAGACACGGCCCAGACUCCUACGGGAGGCAGCAGUAGGGAAUCUUCGGCAAUGGACGAAAGUCUGACCGAGCAACGCCGCGUGAGUGAAGAAGGUUGUCGGAUCGUAAAGCUCUGUUGUAAGAGAAGAACGGGUGUGAGAGUGGAAAGUUCACACUGUGACGGUAUCUUAACAGAAAGGGACGGCUAACUACGUG